UACAGAGGUGGCAAGCGUUGUUCGGAAUUACUGGGCGUAAAGGGCGAGUAGGUGGCCAUCUAAGUCAGACGUGAAAUCCCCCGGCUUAACCUGGGAACUGCGUCUGAUACUGGACGGCUUGAGCAUGGGAGAGGAACGUAGAAUUCCAGGUGUAGCGGUGAAAUGCGUAGAUAUCUGGAGGAAUACCGGUGGCGAAGGCGGCGUUCUGGACCAUUACUGACACUGAAUCGCGAAAGCUAGGGGAGCAAACGGG
rnacentral:rRNA from 1 species